CCUCCGCUGGGGGCUUGGGCUCUGUGCGCAGCGCCCGCCCGGAGCUGGCGGAGGACCCGGCUCCGGACCGGCCGCUCUUGCCUCCCGGGUUCCUUCUCUCUCACGCCCUGGGCUGGGUCCUAGGUCCAGCUUUUUGUCCUACUCAAAAGAGUUCCCCAGUGGGGAGAGCCUGUGCUUCCAUGCAGAACUAAAAUUGCCACAAAGAAAGAUUUAUUAGUUCUUUUUGUCUUGGGGUUCACACGGCUUGGUGACAAGAAGAAUGAGCAGAAAAACUGAUGGAAUUAGAAAAAUGGUGUCCUAAUAGGCAUCUAAAGAAAACAGAAAGGAGGAAGGACCUUUGUUUCGAUGACAAGCACCAUCUAGUGGCAGCAGGUGAUGACGACAUAAUGUCUCUAAGAAGAAUGAAGAUGAAAGUUUUCGGUAGUCCAGGCAUUUCUGGUCGCUUAUAGGCAUGACAUUCUUUGAUUCUAAAACAAGAAGUUGUAUGUAGUAGAAUAAUGCAAUUGAUCGGCCCUGCGUUGAUUAUUGAAAGUAAGGUGCCGAUGUGACCUGCGGAUAGGAUUAUUAGCAUAGAAUUUUCUCAGUAUUUGUGUGACUGAAUAGGUCCUUAAAGACUCUGUAUUUAAGUUUCCUCAUUACAUAAAAUAGGAAGAGUGAUGGCUUGUCACCAGAUGUUAUCUGUAAAGCACUGUGUUCAACAAAGAGCAGAAUCCAUAAAUAUAACUAUUAUAUUUGGAUUUUUUCACUAUUAGGAAAAAAGGUGAAAAAUAUUGUUGGAUGUUUCUCCUGGAGUUAUACAAAAUUAUAACAUUCAUAGGCAUUUCAUAUUGGGGCCUAAACAGAAAGGUGGUAGGAGAUAACGUUACAGCUUGUUACUAUAAACGUCAAAGACUGAUCAGAGAUGUUUGUCAAUAUCAAGUCCUUUUUAAAUAGGUGGCUCAUUGGCGAAAGUCUGACCAACAUUUUGCUACACAGAAUAGAGAUUUUCUUUGUGCUGAUAUUUGUUUGGACUUGUAGUUGUUUGCAACAGAAUGAUCAUUAAAGUUGUCACUCUGUAUCAAUUUUGUUAACCACUUCAUUGUGUAAGAGUAAGAAAUGAGAAAAAGCAACUUUUGUUCUUCUCAUUCUAAAACCAAUCUGGGAUGAAAGAUAGAUAGAUAUAGAU
rnacentral:lncRNA from 1 species